rnacentral:misc_RNA from 1 species
GAUUCAACAGGGCGAGGAAAUGGCGAGAAGAGCGGAAGAGGAGUACGAUUACUUGUUUAAGGUUGUAUUAAUCGGCGAUUCAGGAGUCGGAAAAUCCAACUUGCUUUCCCGAUUCACCAGAAAUGAGUUUCUCUUAGAGUCCAAAUCCACUAUCGGCGUUGAAUUCGCCACUCGUACACUCCAGGUUGAGGGAAGGACCGUCAAGGCUCAGAUUUGGGACACAGCUGGAC